CUUUAAACCAAAACAAAAUGCAGUCCGCUGAGAAUUUCGUUUCACGAUUGAAAAAAAAAACGAUUGCAAUUGAAACCUUUUCACCAUGUUGUGGUCUCCAGCAGCUGACUUACGGAUACGGAGGAAUAGUGACAAAUUACGUGAAACCAGAACAUCCGGCUUCGUGCACUCAAUAUGGACAUUUCCCGGUUGUCCAGGAUAGUGAUGAUUGAAGGGAACAUCCCGAGGAAUGGCGAGAUGCGGUGGUUCGGUACGGUGAAAAAGUGAAAUUCAACGGUUUAGGCAAUUAUGGCACAGUUAUGUGGUUAUGGUUAUGGAGGCUGUGAAAUGAUUGUAUUUAGAUUAUAAUAAAUUAUCCAGAAUCAAC